rnacentral:rRNA from 1 species
GAUGAACGCUGGCGGCGUGCCUAAUACAUGCAAGUCGAACGAAACUUCUUUAUCACCGAGUGCCUGCACUCACCGAUAAAGAGUUGAGUGGCGAACGGGUGAGUAACACGUGGGCAACCUGCCCAAAAGAGGGGGAUAACACUUGGAAACAGGUGCUAAUACCGCAUAACCAUAGUUACCGCAUGGUAACUAUGUAAAAGGUGGCUAUACUACCGCUUUUGGAUGGGCCCGCGGCGCAUUAGCUAGUUGGUAGGGUAAAGGCUUACCAAGGCAAUGAUGCGUAGCCGAACUGAGAGGUUGAUCGGCCACAUUGGAACUGAGACACGGCCCAGACUCCUACGGGAGGCAGCAGUAGGGAAUCUUCCACAAUGGGCGAAAGCCUGAUGGAGCAACGCCGCGUGGGUGAAGAAGGUCUUCGGAUCGUAAAACCCUGUUAUUAGAGAAGAAAGUGCGUGAGAGUAACUGUUCACGUUUCGACGGUAUCUAACCAGAAAGCCACGGCUAACUACGUG